UGUGUAUAAGAGACAGAUCAAACUUCGAAUACCAUACAAUGCAGACCAUGGGAGUCAGUCCGCGAGAGAUAAGUUCCGCGGGCAAAAGGGGAACACCCCAGAUCAACCGCUAAGGUCCCCAAGUUCACGUUAAGUGGAGAAGGAUGUGGAAUUGCACAGACAACCAGGAUGUUGGCUCAGAAGCAGCCACACAUUUAAAGAGUGCGUAAUAGCUCACUGGUCGAGUGAUUGUGCGCCGAAGAUGUCCGGGGCUAAACGUGACACCGAAGCGAUGGGUGCAUCUGAAAGGAUGCGCGGUAGAGGAGCAAUGUGCAGAGGCAGAAGCCGUAUCGAGAGGCACGGUGGACACUGCACAAGAGAGAAUGCCGGUAUGAGUAGCGAGAGGCAUGCGAGAAACAUGCCCGUCGAAAGCCCAAGGUUUCCUGGGGAAGGUUCAUCCGCCCAGGGUAAGUCGGGGCCUAAGCCGAGGACGGAAGUCGUAGGCGAUGGACAGCAGGUGUAGAUUCCUGCACUACCGAUGGAAUGAAGCAGUGACACAGAAGGAUAACUCGAGCAGGGUGAUGGUCAACCCUGUGCAAGCAUUGAGGUUGGGUUGUAGUGAAGUACGCAAUCCUAUAAGCUGAGGUGUGAUGCGGACCGAAAUUUCAGUAGGGAAGCGAGUGAGUUCACGCUGGCGAGAAAAGCUGCUAGUAUAUCCAAAGGUACCCGUACCGGAAACCGACGCAGGUGGGCGAGGAGAGAAUCCUGAGACGGACGGGAGAACUCUUGUUAAGGAACUCGGCAAAAUGACCCCGUAACUUCGGGAGAAGGGGUGCCUCGAAAGAGGCCGCAGAGAAUAGUCACAAGCGACUGUUUAGCAAAAACACAGGUAUCUGCGAAAGCGAGAGCUGACGUAUAGGUGCUGACACCUGCCCGGUGCUGGAAGGUUAAGGGAACAUGUUAGAGCAAUCGAAGCAUCGAACCGAAGCCCCAGUAAACGGCGGCCGUAACUAUAACGGUCCUAAGGUAGCGAAAUUCCUUGUCGGGUAAGUUCCGACCCGCACGAAUGGCGUAACGACUUGUGAGCUGUCUCAACAGGAGGCCCGGUGAAAUUGAAGUAUGUGUGAAGAUGCACAUUACCCGCGACUGGACGGAAAGACCCCGUAGAGCUUUACUGUAACCUGACAUUGGAUCUUGAUAACGGAUGCACAGGAUAGGUGGGACGCUGGGAGACGAGGACUUUGGUUUUCGUGGAGCGGCCGUUGGGAUACCACUCUUCUGUUAUUGAGAUUCUAACCUCAAGCCGUGAGCCGGAUGAGAGACAGUGUCAGGCGGACAGUUUGACUGGGGCGGUCGCCUCCGAAAGAGUAACGGAGGCGCCCAAAGGUACCCUCAGAAUGGAUGGAAACCAUUCGAAGAGAGCAAAGUCAGAAGGGUGCUUGACUGCGAGACCAACAAGUCGAGCAGGUACGAAAGUAGGGCUUAGUGAUCCGGCGGUAAGAGAGUGGAAUUGCCGUCGCUCAACGGAUAAAAGCUACCUCGGGGAUAACAGGCUGAUCUCCCCCAAGAGUUCACAUCGACGGGGAGGUUUGGCACCUCGAUGUCGGCUCGUCGCAUCCUGGGGCUGAAGCAGGUCCCAAGGGUUUGGCUGUUCGCCAAUUAAAGCGGCACGCGAGCUGGGUUCAGA
rnacentral:rRNA from 1 species